CAUUGUUAAAGUCCGACCACAUGUCGACUGCUUACCAGGAACUUUGCAUAUACAUCUCUCAGAAGCUCCCACAGCCCUGGGAAGUAGUCAGCUCUCUCCCCACUCCACAGAACUGUGGCUCACAUGGGGUAGGGGUUUGCCAGGAGCCAGGUACUGGGCCAACCAAGCACCAGGACUCACACCCAUGCCUUUUAAGGAAAAACAAACCUAGAGUUUCGACAGACUGAAGCAAGGUUUUAGGGAUGAGGUGCAUUUUUGUGGUACUUUUAGCCUCUUCGUGACUUUUAUUUAGUAAGCCGACCAUUUUUUGCAGUAAGUGAAGAAAAAUGAAGUUCAGUCACUGCAAUUACGUAGCCUCUCCGAUGGCAGGUUUCUGCCAUGGGUGUAUCUCCAGGAAUCCCAUCUAGCCAGGCCUGAGAUGAGCACUGGAAAGGUGACAAUACAGAGGCUACUUAGAGGAUACAUUUCUUACAGUCGUGAACUAUGUGUUCUUUACUCCUAGGGCAGCAGUUCUUGGGCCUCACUUGCCCAAGGCUGCUGAAUCAGAACAUCUGGGAAUGAAGGGGACCCAAGCAUCUGCAUGUAAACUAGCUCACGAGCCUGUUCAGUCUCCUUUCUGCUUCUCUGAAUUGAUUGGAGGCUACAAUCAAAUAACAACAACGAAGACCUCUGUGCCUAGCCCUUCCUGGAAGUGAACCGGGAUCCGGGAAGGCGUCCCUAGAUCCAGGCUGGGCCGUGUUUUCCACACACUUUCAC
ensembl:lncRNA